UGGGGAAUAUUGCACAAUGGGCGAAAGCCUGAUGCAGCAACGCCGCGUGAGUGAUGAAGGCCUUCGGGUUGUAAAGCUCUGUCUUUUGGGACGAUAAUGACGGUACCAAAGGAGGAAGCCACGGCUAACUACGUGCCAGCAGCCGCGGUAAUACGUAGGUGGCAAGCGUUGUCCGGAUUUACUGGGCGUAAAGGAUGCGUAGGCGGAUUUUUAAGUGAGAUGUGAAAACCCUAAGCUUAACUUGGGGACUGCAUUUCAUACUGGAAAUCUAGAGUGCGGGAGAGGAGAAUGGAAUUCCUAGUGUAGCGGUGAAAUGCGUAGAGAUUAGGAAGAACACCAGUGGCGAAGGCGAUUCUCUGGACCGUAACUGACGCUGAGGCAUGAAAAGCGUGGGUAGCAAAACAGGAUUAGAUACCCUGGUAGUCCACGCCGUAAACGAUGAGUACUAGGUGUAGGAGGUAUCGACCCCUUCUGUGCCGCAGUUAACACAAUAAGUACUCCGCCUGGGAAGUACGAUCGCAAGAUUAAAAACUUAAAUGAAUUGAC
rnacentral:rRNA from 1 species